UAACCUGCCCAAGAGAUCGGGAUAACACCUGGAAACAGAUGCUAAUACCGGAUAACAACAGAUGAUGCCUAUCAACUGUUUAAAAGAUGGUUCUGCUAUCACUCUUGGAUGGACCUGCGGUGCAUUAGCUAGUUGGUAGGGUAACGGCCUACCAAGGCGAUGAUGCAUAGCCGAGUCGAGAGACUGAUCGGCCACAUUGGGACUGAGACACGGCCCAAACUCCUACGGGAGGCAGCAGAC
rnacentral:rRNA from 1 species